AUAUUGGGUGGGUGGGUGGAUUAAGGCUUUAAUGUUGUUGUUGUUGUUGUUGUUGCAUGGGUAGGUGGGUUUGCGUGUGUGCGCAUUGGGAGGGAGGGGACGGGGCUUAAUAUGAAUGUAAAACCAGAAGUAACCAUCUCAAAUGACAAAUAUUGGCUUUGUAGCAGCAUGAAUGGCACAAGCACAAACUGAUAACCACAAAUCACAAUUUUCUAAUAGCUAAAGAUAAAUAUAUUC
rnacentral:misc_RNA from 1 species